UCAUCGUUAAAUAGCCCGGCUCGCCUUGGCGGGUCGCCGGCUUCUUAGCGAGACUUUUGGCUUAAGCCAAAGGAAGUUGGAGGCAAUAACAGGUCUGUGAUGCCCUUAGAUGUUCUGGGCUGCACGCGCGCUACACUGACAGAGGCAACGAGUUUCUUUCCUUGGCCGGAAGGCCUGGGUAAUCUUGUUAAACUCUGUCGUGCUGGGGAUAGAGCAUUGCAAUUAUUGCUCUUCAACGAGGAAUGCCUAGUAAGCGCGUGUCAUCAGCAUGCGUUGAUUACGUCCCUGCCCUUUGUACACACCGCCCGUCGCU
rnacentral:rRNA from 1 species